UACAAGACGCUGUGCGCGCACUUCUGUGUCGAAAGAGCCCAAACGUGCGUGAUAUUCCUGCGAGCGCAGUUUGACUUUUGCAGACGUGUGCUUGAAAUCCGUGGCAUUUGCUUUCGCCAUAUCGGAAUCAACGGCUUGCCGACAGCGAUGGCGAAUAUAUUUCUGCUCUUAGGCGCCAUACUGCUCAACUUGGAACCUACAGUUGGCUCAGGC